CCUCAUUACUCUUUUCCAUGUCUUCGCGAUAAACAGCAACGGAAAGCCCGAAGAAAGAAGAACCACCGAAAAAAGUACCCGAUAAAAAGGAAGGUGAAGACCACGAUGUUUCGCACGCGGUCCAUUAUGAAGGAGCGGGAUGGUAUCUCGGCUGCAGUGAUGCUAAGGGCAAUCCAUACCGAAACGGAAUGGGCUGCGUGUACUACCACCGCCAUCUCCUUGACAAUAAGCAUGGAGGGAAAGAUCGUCGCUGCAUACUUGGAAAGUGCCGGAACGGAAGAUGCAUACAUGAUGGUACCGCCACAUGCGCUGUGUACUAAAAUACCCUGCCGAACGGCUCAUAAU